UGAGGAAUAUUGGUCAAUGGGCGAGAGCCUGAACCAGCCAAGUAGCGUGCAGGAUGACGGCCCUAUGGGUUGUAAACUGCUUUUAUGUGGGGAUAAAGUGCGUGACGUGUCAUGCAUUGCAGGUACCACAUGAAUAAGGACCGGUUAAUUCCGUGCCAGCAGCCGCGGUAAUACGGAAGGUCCGGGCGUUAUCCGGAUUUAUUGGGUUUAAAGGGAGCGUAGGCUGUCUAUUAAGCGUGUUGUGAAAUUUACCGGCUCAACCGGUGGCUUGCAGCGCGAACUGGUCGACUUGAGUAUGCAGGAAGUAGGCGGAAUUCAUGGUGUAGCGGUGAAAUGCUUAGAUAUCAUGACGAACUCCGAUUGCGCAGGCAGCUUACUGUAGCAUAACUGACGCUGAUGCUCGAAAGUGCGGGUAUCAAACAGG
rnacentral:rRNA from 1 species